AUAAAAUUUAAUAAAUCAAGAAUAUGAAAUUAAUUUGAAUUCUGUUCUGUCUCGUGAAAGAUGGGAAAGUUUAUAAAAAAAAAAAAAACCUAGAACAUCCACUGUUCAAUAACUCGUUCCUCGGAAGUGGAAAAAUUUUGCAAGAAGUGUUCCCAACGAAUAAACGUGGAAUUGGUUGUACGGGAUCACGAUUUCAUCGCGACAGGUUGGGACGUGAAAAAUGGGAGAGACAAAAAGAAAACGAGAAGGGAAAAAAGAAGAAAAAACGAGGCGCGAAAUAGAAGGAGAUUUCACAAAACGUUCGAACCUGUAUUCAGGACUCGUGUAUGAAAGUGCUCUCUUUCAUGCAUUCCAGCUGACCUCCAGUGGCAUUAUUAACGUUAAAAAUGGACUGCGAAUACAACGAUUUUAAACUCGUAUCGCGACAGAGUAAAGAAAAAUCACUUUGAUCUGGAAAGUCGCAUUUCCCCCUUUGUGUGUCGUUUUCGCUUAAAAUAUGCUCAUCAUUGAUAAAAAAAUAUAAUGGCUCGUUUAAAAAAAUAUAGAAGUGAUCUUGGAAUUUCUUUUACAUCCCCAUACUAAGCUGUCUCCAUCGUAUAAUACUUUUCUCAGUACUUUUGAAGGGAACAUUCUUUAUAUCAUUCGAGUUGCUGUCCUAAAUUUUCUGAGAUUGCAUGCAGAAGAAGAAAAGACACAUGAAGUUGGCAGAUUAGGAAGAAGCAUAUUAUUGUUCCCAAAAUAUUGCAACCGCUUGACGAAGGAUUCACGAAAGCGCGUAUACAGGAGAUCUCAUUAAAGCGCACAGCUUGACCCCGUAUUAUUAAUUGCACCACAGUAAAGGACCCGACGAAAGAGAAUCAUAGAAAAAGAAAGACCCGUCGAAAGUGAAAAUGGCUCACUUGUGCACGUCCUCUCGUCGAGUAUGAACGCGAAUUAAGGACUGAAUUGUCUUCUACGAUUUCGAACACUCUUUUAAGAUAACGAUACACGGUAAAUUUGUGUCGAAAAUGCAAAUCUUAUUGAAAGA